rnacentral:rRNA from 1 species
UACGUAGGCAGCGAGCGUUGUUCGGAAUUACUGGGCGUAAAGAGUGUGUAGGCGGUGUUCCCAGUCUGUUGUGAAAUCUCCCGGCUUAACUGGGAGGGUGCAGCGGAAACUAGAAUGCUAGAGGGUGGGAGAGGUAAGCGGAAUUCCUGGUGUAGCGGUGAAAUGCGUAGAUAUCAGGAGGAACACCUGUGGUGUAGACAGCUUACUGGACCACUUCUGACGCUGAGACACGAAAGCGUGGGGAGCGAACCGG